AUUGAACGCUGGCGGCAUGAUUUACACAUGCAAGUCGAACGGUAACAGGCCGCAAGGUGCUGACGAGUGGCGCACGGGUGAGUAAUGCAUCGGAACGUGCCCAGUCGUGGGGAUAACUACUCGAAAGAGUAGCUAAUACCGCAUACGAUCUAUGGAUGAAAGCGGGGGACCGUAAGGCCUCGCGCGAUUGGAGCGGCCGAUGUCAGAUUAGGUAGUUGGUGGGGUAAAGGCUCACCAAGCCAACGAUCUGUAGCUGGUCUGAGAGGACGACCAGCCACACUGGGACUGAGACACGGCCCAGACUCCUACGGGAGGCAGCAGUGGGGAAUUUUGGACAAUGGGCGCAAGCCUGAUCCAGCAAUGCCGCGUGCAGGAAGAAGGCCUUCGGGUUGUAAACUGCUUUUGUACGGAACGAAACGGCUCUGGUUAAUACCCGGGGCUAAUGACGGUACCGUAAGAAUAAGCACCGGCUAACUACGUG
rnacentral:rRNA from 1 species